rnacentral:rRNA from 1 species
AGCGAACGCUGGCGGCAGGCUUAACACAUGCAAGUCGAGCGGGCACUUCGGUGUCAGCGGCAGACGGGUGCGUAACACGUGGGAACGUACCCUUCGGUUCGGAAUAACGCCGCGAAACUAGCGCUAAUACCGGAUACGCCCUUUUGGGGAAAGGUUUACUGCCGUAGGAUCGGCCCGCGUCUGAUUAGCUAGUUGGUGGGGUAAUGGCCUACCAAGGCGACGAUCCGUAGCUGGUCUGAGAGGAUGAUCAGCCACACUGGGACUGAGACACGGCCCAGACCCCCACGGGAGGGAGGAGUGGGAAAUAGUGGAAAAGGGGCGAAAGCCUGAUACAACCAUGGCGCGAGAGUGAAGAAGGCCAGAGUGUUAAAAAGCUCUUUUGUCCGGGACGAUAAUGACGGUACCGGAAGAAUAAGCCCCGGCUAACUUCG